CUAGGUUUGCAAAUUAUUUAAAGUUUUUCAUGUGGUCAAGUAUAUGAGAGCAAUUAUUUAUGUAAAUAUUACCCAAACAUAAAAAACUUGCAUAUUCUGUAAGGAUUCUAAAUAAAUACAUUUGAAUUAAGUAAACAGAAAUUUAGUGAAUCUACCUUGAACAAAACAUUCACUAUGGCUCAGGAUGAAUAGGUCAACUUUCCAUCUGUCUCCCUGGGCCCAUCACUAAACUGUUCUGUAAUGGUGUUCACCACACCUGACCCACUGGCUGGGCGCCGCCCAGGCUAGGCUUUCUUUUUGACGUCACUUUCCACAGGAAAUCUUCCUUGAUGCCUUAGACUUGGUUGGGGAACCAUGUUAGAAUGCACAGAACUUUUUCUUGUUGGCGCUUUUCACAUUUGUAAUUAUAAAGUUAUUUGUACAAGUAAUAGAGUAAUUUCUCACUAUCACAUAGGCUCUGUGGAUGGGACAGGGUCUGCUUUAUCUUGGUUUCUCUAAACAUAGCUGAGCAUAGUACAUCCCUGGUACGUAGUGGGCGAUCAAUAAAUAUUUUUAUAUGAAUGAAUAAAUGAAUAAACACAUAGUCUGUUAAGUAGAGGAAAUAUACAUUGAAGAACUGUCUCUGGCAAUUUUCCACCAUGUGGUUGGAAAGCCAGCCUACCACAUCAAAGACUGCUGAAACAGACAUGCAAGAGAAAAGCCAAGUUGACGCAUGGAAAAAAAACAAGAUUUCCUGGCUCCCAAGAGCCUAUCAGUCCCUCUUCAAAGUUGCAAUCAGAGGCUCAAUUUUAUCCCAUUGCUUGGGUUUGAUAAGACCCACUCUAGCUUUAUAAUUUCAAUUUUCGUUGAAGCUAAAAACAGUGGCAGAUUUCUUUAGCUUUUAUCUAAUAAUCCUUUUUUGUUCUAGGUGCCCAUCUGGGACACCACAUUACAAUUGGUUGCCAUCCCCUUCAGGUUUCUCUUCCUCGGACACAUUUCUAGACAGGCUUCUCUAGUUUGGGAUGAUUUCAUUGUAUUUUUUGUGCUUUCUUUUAUUUUGUCUAAUUUUACAUUUGCUUUGUGUUCGCUUUGAUUUACUUUGUUAUCCACUCUUUUCCCUUUUGAUUUUUUUUUUUUUGCUCGCUCUCUUAAGUUUCUUUUUAUUAUCUUUUCCCUUCUAUUGAUACUGUUAUAAUUUUCUGUCCCAUAAACAAGAAAACACGUAUUUCUGUCAUUUUUAAAACUAAACAAGGUACAUUACAAUUUACUUCCUUUGCCAAGGUAGCCUAAGGAGAUUAGUCUUUUAGAACACUUUUUUUUUUUGAGACAGAGUCUCAUUAUGUCACCCUUGGUAGAGUGUGGUGGCGUCACAGCUCACAGCAAUCUCAAACUCUUGGGCUUAAGCGAUUCUCUUGCCUCAGCCUCCCAAAUAGCUGAGACUACAGGUGCCCCCUACAACACCGGGCUAUUUUUUUGUUGCAGUUGUCAUUAUUGUUUAGCUGGCCUGGGCUGGGUUCAAACCCACCACCGGCAUAUGAGGCUGGUGCUGUAACCACUGUGCUGCGGGCGCCGAGCCUAGAACACUCCUUUUAGCACCUCUAUUCUUCUCAACUCUACCUCUAUCUAGACCAAGAAAAAAACUUUUUAAAUGUUUUGGCUUCAUUUCAUUUCUCUUACCCCUAACGUCUAGGUUUUUCUAAAAUGGCUUUUAGAAGGUUUUUCAUUCCAGAUUAUUAUUAGAACUGGUUUUUACUGGUUUCAGAUCUCUCGCUGGGCUCUGUGGCUGUCACUGGAUUUACGUGUCCGUCUAUCAUGGGACUCGUUCCUUUGCUCCCUCCUGCGCUCCCAUCUUUGAGGGUGCUGCGGUGUAGUUACGAUGCUGUUUGGCCACAGUGUUUAUUUUCCUCCUCCCUUCUGCUUGGAGCAUGAGGAAUAGUUUCAGUGUGCACAUUCGAGGUGCAGCUUCCUCUAGAGGCGUGAGCGACAUACUGUCUACAUCACAGCACACCCAUGCUUGUGUCCUCCGCCCAGAAAGGCCAGUGGCAUCCUGAGUGGUUCAGGGAGCUGAGGCAGCAGUGCUUUUCUCUAGGUCUGCAUCGUCUAUUCGAGGCCUUGCACGAGAAACACUGAGUGACAGUCCUAGUCUUUAGAUGACUGGCUAUUACUGUCUGGAAAUGUGCCACAUUUUCUCUUCAUUCUUAAAAUUAAAACAUCCCCCAGACUGGCUUCCAUGACUGUGUGUUUGUUUGUUUGUUUUGUUUUUUUAUUUCUUAUCAUCCCUUCUGCUUGGAACGGGAUGACUAGUUUCGAUGUGCACUUUCAGGUUGUCGGGCUAUUCUUCAUCUUGUUGACAUUUUCUUUUUCUCCUGUGUGGAUUUUCUUUCAUUCGCUUUGGCUUGUCCUCCAAAUGCCUAGUGUGGUCUAUCAUGACAGUCUUCUCCUUGUAUUUUACCUCCAGUUGAGAUUCUAGGCCAGUAAGGCAGGUCUUGUCAGUGACUGCCACUCUGUUUAAGUUCAUUUACUGGCAUUUUCAGUAUAGAAAUCAUGCAAGAAGUCUUUGAAAAGUGUAACUGACUACUCUCAGAUAUGUCUACAUUCCGUUUAAGUUUCAAUCAGUUUGUUAAUGGACUUCGCCUGUGUGUUUUUCCUCUUUCAGGCUCCUCACCCCCAACACUGGGGCUCCGCUCCUGCCGUGGGAAUCCUCCAAAGGAUUGCAGGGAACAGUGCUUCUCAAAUGUGGUCUGCAGAGCCCCGGAGGUCCCUGAGACUCUUUCCUGGAGUCUACAAGAUCAAACUACUUUCAUGGUAAUACUAACAUGUUAUUUGCCUUUUUCUCCAAUGACACAAAAGCAAUAGUAGGUAAAACUGCUGGUUUCUUAGCACAAAUCAAAGCAGCGUAGCCAAAACAUACCAGUUGUCAUUGUAGCCUCACAACCACAUAUGGAGAAAGCGGAGGAUUAAAGCCUUGCGUAGUUUGUAAAGGUCACUGGGAUAAAAGGCAAAGCUGGGCUCCCCUCCAGCGUCAGGGAUACCAGGCUGUUCUGCAAUCCCUCAAAAACCAGCUCCAAUUCUGGAGAAAGAAAACAGGAUGAAAGUAAAAAUACUCAUAAAACAUACCAAUACUUUUUACAAGAGUGAGGGCUGAGGAGAAGAAAAAUCUUUUUUCCUCACUUUUCCUUCAUCUUUAAUGUCAUCCAACACCUCACGUGCUACUUUGGCAACUAGGAAAGAAGCUCAUCCUGUUCCCAAACCCAGGCAUGACCUGGCCAAAGUGCUCAGAGGCGGCACUUGCUCCUUCUGAUCCAAGCCCCGUUCUUCACCCCACCCUGGGUUUUCUCCUCUGCUACCAUGUCUGUGUUUUUCGUCAGGAUAAAAAAGCAGGACUGGAUGCAUAAUUUGAAGGAUCCAAAGCAAAAUGAAAAUGAAGACCUCUUAUUUUAAAAACAGGAGAAAGUACUAUCAAAGGUGAGAACGCAGCAAGAAGGCCCUCACAAGAUGCUGGUGCCUUGAUCCUGGACUUCCAGCCUCCAGAACUAUAAAGUCCUAUUCUUUAAAAAUGACCCAGUCUGUAUAUUCUGUUACAGCAACACAAAUAAAUGGACUAAGACAGCUCAUUGUUAACCUCCGUAUACCUGUUUUCUCAUCUUUAAAAUGGGGACCAUGGCAUACCUUCAAGAUAGGG